UAGGUCCAAUAGCCUCUUCAUUCUAGAAA
rnacentral:sRNA from 1 species